GGGGAGUUUUGGUCAAUGGGGGAAACCCUGAACCAGCAACGCCGCGUGGGUGAUGAAGGCCUUCGGGUUGUAAAGCCCUGUCGGGAGGGACGAAUUCCCAGUGUAACGAACUGGGUUGACGGUACCUUCAAAGGAAGCACCGGCUAACUCUGUGCCAGCAGCCGCGGUAAUACAGAGGGUGCAAGCGUUGUUCGGAAUUACUGGGCGUAAAGCGCGUGUAGGCGGCGGGCUAAGUCUUGUGUGAAAGCCCUGGGCUCAACCCAGGAAGUGCGCAAGAUACUGGCUUGCUGGAGUGACGGAGAGGAUGGCGGAAUUCCCGGUGUAGAGGUGAAAUUCGUAGAUAUCGGGAGGAACACCUGUGGCGAAGGCGGCCAUCUGGACGUUAACUGACGCUGAGACGCGAAAGCAUGGGGAGCAAAC
rnacentral:rRNA from 1 species